rnacentral:rRNA from 1 species
GACGAACGCUGGCGGCGUGCUUAACACAUGCAAGUCGAGCGGUAAGGCCCUUUCGGGGGUACACGAGCGGCGAACGGGUGAGUAACACGUGGGUGACCUGCCCUUAGCUCUGGGAUAAGCCUGGGAAACUGGGUCUAAUACCGGAUAUGACUCCAUGACGCAUGUUGUGGGGUGGAAAGCCUUGUGCGGCUAGGGAUGGGCCUGCGGCCUAUCAGCUUGUUGGUGGGGUGANGGCCUACCAAGGCGACGACGGGUAGCCGGCCUGAGAGGCGACCGGCCACACUGGGACUGAGACACGGCCCAGACUCCUACGGGAGGCAGCAGUGGGGAAUCUUGCGCAAUGGGCGAAAGCCUGACGCAGCGACGCCGCGUGGGGAUGACGGCCU